rnacentral:lncRNA from 1 species
AGACCUAUAUGGUCCACACAGAGAGAUACUGCCUCAAAAAUCGCCGUCUUUAGAAGCACAACCUGGGAUGUAAAUUUUGUACUUAUCUUCCCAUCAAAAAUCAUUUUUCUUGAAUCAAGAGCCACCAGAAAUAUGUCAUUUGUGUGCACAUAGGCAACCAUACUCCCUUCAUAAUUUUGGAAGGUUCUGGACAGGUUAAAGCUGAUUUGCGCCAAU